AUUGAACGCUAGCGGGAUGCUUUACACAUGCAAGUCGAACGAGUGGCGGCCGGGUGAGUAAUAUAUCGGAACGUGCCCAAUAGCGGGGGAUCACUACUCGAAAGCGUAGCUAAUACCGCAUACUAUUGGAUCAGCCGAUAUGGGAUUAGCUAGUUGGUGGGGUAAAGGCUCACCAAGGCAACGAUCCGUAGCUGGUUUGAGAGGCUGACCAGCCACACUGGGACUGAGACACGGCCCAGACUCCUACGGGAGGCAGCAGUGGGGAAUUUUGGACAAUGGGGGAAACCCUGAUCCAGCCAUCCCGCGUGUAUGAGAAGGCCUUCGGGUUGUAAAGUACUUUUGGCAGAGAAGCGGUACCUGCAGAAUAAGCACCGGCUAACUACGUGCCAGCAGCCGCGGUAAUAC
rnacentral:rRNA from 1 species